rnacentral:rRNA from 1 species
CACGUAGGGGGCGAGCGUUGUCCGGAUUUAUUGGGCGUAAAGAGCUCGUAGGUGGUUCGGUAAGUCGGGUGUGAAAACUCUGGGCUCAACUCAGAGACGCCACCUGAUACUGCUGUGACUUGAGUCUGGUAGGGGAGUGUGGAAUUCCCGGUGUAGCGGUGAAAUGCGUAGAUAUCUGGAGGAACACCGGUGGCGAAGGCGGCAUCCUGGACCGAUAUUGACGCUGAUGCGCGAAAGCCAGGGGAGCAAACGGG